GGAUUGAUAGUUAAGUUGGUAAAAUGUUUGUCUUGAAAGCACAAAGACUCGAAUUCAAUCUU
rnacentral:tRNA from 1 species